ensembl:lncRNA RASSF8-AS1 RASSF8 antisense RNA 1
AGUCCGCGGCUUGUGUGCCGCGAGGAGAGGCGCAAAGGGUGACACACCAGGAAAGCAGGUAGCAGGCAAGAGUGUGGUUAUCGUUGGACCAGGAUUCAGGAUCUGACUGAGUAGCUGACUCUUAAUCCAGUUUGUGUUGAUCACCAGGAGGAUCUGGACCUCAGUAUUACCACAUCUAGAGGUGAUAUGCCAACUCCACCUUUGCCUUCCACCAUGUUUGGAAGCUCCCUGAGGCCUCACCAGGAGCAGAUGCUCGUCCCAUGCUUCCUAUAAGCCUGCAGAACUGUGAGCCAUAAUAAACUGUGAAUUAUAAAUUGCCUUUAUAGCAAUGCAAAUGGACCAGUACAGAUGGGAUGCUGGGAAGACAGUUGUUUCCACCUUCAGUAAAGUCCGUGGAACACAGUUGUGACUAUAUUCUAGGCCAGCCAAGAUGCUUGUACUCAGAAAGGAGUGGUCUCAGGACCAUAAGAAAGUGAAAAAAUAAAAAUAAGAAAAUAAAGAAGGGAUUGUCAAUGAAUCAGAAUUCAUCAAGGUCAAAGUCUUAGGAAAUUCCUUCAUGAGGAAGUCUAGGGGGGCUAUGGAAAUGAAAUUUUUAAACAAAUAGGUAUGUGGUGCUGGCAGGAAUAAAUUAUGGACUUAUGAAUAUAACAUAAGAUUCUUUAUUACCUGGUCUCACCCGUCUUUCCACCUCUGCCCCCCUUCUUGCCCGACUCUGUGUAUCACCCAUAAUAAACUACUUACAGCUUCCUAGUGUUAAAUUUACCCUAAAGCUGCCUCCUUCAAUAUUUUAAGUUUAACCUAAAGGUUCUUCAUACAUAGUGAACUAUAACCCAAUGAUUAAACAGAUUGUAACCUACUCUUGUACCAGUCACCAAGUUUCAGCCAAUCAGAGGUGGCCAACUGUUCAAACCAUGCUCAAAUAAGGGAAAUGUCAUGGUGUAACUAAUCCAGCUGUUUCUAUACCUUACUUCUGUUUUCUUAGGUCACUUUCCUUUUUUGUCCAUAAAUUCUCUCCAACCACUCAGCAGCACUGGAGUCACUCCAAAGCUAUCCUGGUUCAGGGGUCUGUCUGAUUCACAAGUCAUUCUUUGUUCAAUUGAGCUCUGCUAAAUUUAAUUUGUCUGAAGUUUUUCUUUUAACAGAUGGUGUCAGAAAUGGACCCCAAAGUAGAGCUCCCAGUGAUCCCCCAGGAGCACUGAGUGACCACAAGGGGUACCUGCUGGGCCCGUCCUCUCGCAGUGUCCACUGCUCUCUUACAGCAACUGGAGAUUGUGGCUGCAUUCUCUCUCAGAUUCUGAAGCUCCAUACAUUGCCGUUUUCAGCUGUUCAAGCUUGCUUGAGCAAAUUUUUGAUCUUAGCUGAGUUUGGAAGUCGAUAGACAUUGGACUGGGUCCAGGAUUUGAUUGGAUCUGAUAAUUAACUGGCUUGGAUCCAGUUAGAUGCCUCGGUUAUCUGACUGGGUCAGAUAGAAACCGCCAGUAAAUAUUUUAAUAACAAUACUGCAGGGGUAUGAACUCUGGCUUUAAGAAACUCACAAGGAAUUUUAUGUUCUAUACCCUUUGUUUCUUUUUCUUGUGUGCUUCGGUCAGGAAAAAUCAUUAGUCAAGUUAAUCAAGGGGAUCUGAGAGCCAAAUACAAGAUUCAACGUAAAAAUGGAAUCCUUGGGCUAGGCGUGGUGGCUCAGGCCUGUAAUCCCAGGACUUUGGGAGGCUGAGGCAGGCGGAUCACCUGACCUUAGGAGUUCGAGACCAGUCUGGCCAACAUGGUGAAACCCCGUCUCCACUAAAAAUACAAAAAUUAGCCAGGCGUGGUGGUGGGCACCUGUAAUCCCAGCUACUUUGGAGGCUGAGGCAGGAUAAUCACUUGAACCCAGGAGGCAGAGGUUGCAGUGAUCUGAGAUUGCACCACUGCACUCCAGCCUGGGCAAAAGAGCGAGACUCCAUCUCAUAAAUAAAUACAUAAAUAAAUAAAGAAAUCCUUAAUUUCUGCGGAACUGAGUGCUCUACCUUCUGGCUACACCUACGUAUACCUGUAUGAGGUAUAGGCCCUGGAAGCAGCAAACACUUACAGAAAUGGUGAAAUCUUACUAAAGGUAAUCUAAAGUUAUGGUGGAACAUCCCAAAUGAACAACACUGCACUUUAGGAAGUACAUAUAAAAAUGAAGUCUCCCAAUUUAGUAU